rnacentral:lncRNA from 10 species
CAAAACCUCAUCUUUACUAAAAAAAAAAAAAAAAUUAGCUGGGCAUAGUGGCACGUGCCUGUAAGUCUCAGCUACUUGGGAGGCUGAGAGGGGGAGGAUUACUUGAACCCAGGAGUUUGAGGCUGUAGUGAGCUGAGAACACGCCACUGCACUUCAGCCUGUGUGGCAGGGCGAGAUCCUGUCUCAAAAAUAAAAAAGAAAAGAAAGUCACCAGUAGGUCCACUACCUAGAGACAAACACUGUGGCUCUUGCUGUGUUCUCGUCUAUCACCAUGUGCAGGUUUGUUACGGGGGCAUAUUGCGUGAUGCCUCUCAAGUACUUUGGACUACAGGCGUGUGCCACCACACCCAGCUAUCUUUUUUUUUUUUAAUUAGAAAUGAGGUUCUGCCAUAUUGCCCAGGCUGGUCUUGAAUGCCUGGGCUCAAGGUCUGGGUUACAACUGAAACUAAACCUGUCACCCAGGUAGUGAACAUAGUACCGGAUAGGUAGUUUUUUAGCCCUUGCCCCUGAAAUGCUGACCCCUGAUAGAGCCUUCUAGACUUUUGCUCAAUACUCAAUAAAUGUCUGGUUCUUUUGAAUCAUUUCUCUCUCACUCUGGGCUGGUGGGUCAUGUGGCCCUAGAAGUGAACCUCUGACCAGAUGGUAUCUUAGUUCCUCUCUCUGUCUCCUUUCCUAGUUCUCUUUGCCAUGAAGGAGGAUAAUGAGAAGGUGCCUACUUUGCUAACGGACUACAUUUUAAAAGUGCUCUGCCCUACCUAACCUUGCCCUUUGGAGCAGCCUCGCUGCAGGAGGUCACUGAGCAAGAGUCAUUCCAUCACAGGGACUGCAUGAGACCAUGUAACCUCCGACAUGUAUUUAAACGUGUAUAGCUUAACCUGGAUUAAACACGAGCAAGCGCGCGGGGUCCUUUGCCGUUGGCUUCUAGUGCUAGUAAUCAUUGGAUGCAUGAUGGGGCAGGGCCGGUGAUGGUGCCUCCCCCUUGCUGGUGUCAGGAGAGGGGAAGGCAGCCGCUUUCACCGCUCAUUAUGUAGUCUGGCUACAGCCCUCAAAAACAGCUUAUACUCUUAAGACUAAUUUUGAAAUAAAACCUUCAUUUAAUUAAUAU